AAUUGAAAGAAAGAAGAAUGUAGUUGAAUGAUUUACUAUAAUAAAUCGAGACAAGAAAAUUAUAGAGAAAAUUUCUGCACCUACCGUACAAUCUAAUAGACAGGUUAUGUUGCAAAGAUUUUAUCUUGAAUUAUGUGUUUCUACUUUAUUGAUUUCAUUGCUAACCAAUGGUCAUAAUUAAUUUGAUAUAUGAUCUCCAUAAAUGUAAAAACUUAACCAAUCAAACAUUAAAAAUUGUCUCCGAUAAAUUUCUUCUUAAAUAGCAAGCAUUUCAUUCAAAAUCAAACUCAAUCGAUGAAUCAUUCGCUAUUAUCGAUCAAUCAUAUUUUAUACGCACAAUUUUAAAAUUAAUUCAAUAAAUGAACCAAAACACAAAAACCUAACUUUAGUCAAGCCUAAAUUUAAAAAUUAUCUGCAACAAAUUUCCACUAAAUUUCAAACAGCAAGCACUUCGAUCAAAUCACACCCACAAAACCACACGAAAUCACAUCAAUCAAUGAAAUAUCAACAAAUAUCGACAAAUUAUUCAAUAUUACUGAUCAAUCAUAUUUUGUAUCGCACAAUUCCAAAGUUUUAUUUAAUCUAAUAAAUGAAUCAACUUCAUAAAUGUAAAAAUCUAACCUUAAAAAUGAUAGAAAUUUUUCCAAAAGUUAAUCAUUUUCGAACAGCAAAUCACAUUCAAAUAUCGUUUUAUCGACAAACUAUCGAUGUUAAACUCGGAUCACUUCUCAUCCAUCAGUCAUUAAUGUUAACUAUUCACUAUAAAUAUUUCUUCCGAAAAAAAUCAAAAUUAUCGUAAAAAGAACGGUAUCAAGAUAACUCGAACGAGGGUGCUCGAAUGUCGUAUAAAAUAAUUUACAGUUCGUCUAUGCAAAAUACAACCACCAGCAAAGUGUGUGAAUGCACGUCGAUACGCGGCGUCUUGCUUGACCAACGAUGCAAGACGAGUCGAUAGGCUUAUCGAUUAGUCGACGCGGUCCAUCGCGAGACGUCAGUAUCGAACAGCGGCGAUUCCUGUCCGAUAUCUAGUCGAUAUCUAGUCGAUUUCUAACCAAUUCAUGGUAGUUGAAUGAUUCAGGGGAACGUUGACUGUGAGCUCGCCCCUGGCGCCGUGGCCUGUUUAAUUUUAGGGUAUUACGCGUGCAGGCGGCAGCCUGGUCGAGGCUAAAGGGUACCUCUGCCUCGGUAUUUGCCAAGAUAUUAUCGUGAAAAAGGGAAAGGAGAGAAGCAGUGGGUAACGAGGAGGGCGUGUCCGUUGGUUCGAGACGAGCCUCUAGGAUGCAUCCGACACUGUUUCGCGAAUUAGCCCCGUCUCGAAUCAUCGUGGCCCAUCGGGGAAAUCGUCGUGACUUGGGGUUGCUAGGCAAUACGUCGAAUGGGUAUCCUGUUCUUUGGAAUUGUGCGAAUCGGUUCAAUGCCUUUGCCAAUGAUGGUUCUCUGAACCAGUGUUUCUCAACUUGUGGAUCGUGAUUCUUAAAAAGAUCAGCAUAAAUUGAGGCACAAGUUAAAUAGAAAUGUAAAAUACAUGCGGUGAUAAAAUACAGAAAUAGGUUUUGUAAAUAGAAGAGAAAUUUUUAACGGAAUACGUGCAUAAAAUAUGCAAGGUGACAGAGAAAGUGCAGCCAUCCUGAUGAAAAAUCAACUUCAAAUAAAAAAAGAACAAAAAUUUCUUCAAAUUAAAAAAAAAACAAAUGUAAAAGUAGUUUGCAUAUAUACUACAACUAAAACAAAACAGAAAUCAUACCUGAGUUCGAGGCGCUGAUUUUUUAUCUACGGAUGAAAUCAUAUAAUACGAUUAUGAUAUUUGCAUAUAUUUCUUUCCUGCUGCAAGCAAGAAUUGAUAUUCUUCAAUCAUUUCCAUAGAUCAAUCUCUUGAAGUAGAAAGAACGAGCGGCCUGUAAGGAAUAUCUACAGAAAUGAUUAUUGGCAAAUAACCGGAGGUAUAAUUAUAUCAGUAUAUAUAUCAGAGGAUGUACUAUGAAACGUUGCACCGCUGAAAGUUCGGUAUAUUUAACAGUGGCCGCACGUCUGAGAUAUAACUUUGAUAUCGGAGUUGCGUGCAGAAUCACCGAAUUAUAUCGACUUGCAGCGAUCGAAGUGUGAAGCGUGCCGACGAUCGUGUGUUGAAUAUAUAAUCGACUUUUUGUAAGCCUUGAGAAACGAGUAUCCAUUCCUUUAAAAAUUCAACAAAUUUAUUCAAUUAUAUUUAUUCCAUCUAUUCGUUUAGAAAUUUAUAGAAAAUUUGAAUUAAAUGAAAAUUAGAUACAUAUGGCAUAUGAAUGUAUGCUGAAUAUAUAUUGCAAAUAUAAAACAAGUUUAACAAAAAAAGAAAGAAAUAAAAAAUUAGAAUAAUGAUAUCAUUUAUUUACAAAUUGCAUGGAUAGUUAAUGUAUUAUUUCUCAACAUCUAUAGCUUGUUGUAUGUUUGUAUAUUGAUGAUAUUCAAGAUAUUAUUCAAGGAAACAUUAACAGUUCAUCACAUUAGCCAUCACACGUUUAAUAAAAAUAGAAAAAUUCCAUUAUGAAGAAUCAGAUUAUCAUUGAAAAUAUAAAAAUGAAUUGUCUGGAAUAAAAAAAAUUGCAUCUUCAGAAUUUAAAUAAUUAAUCUUUAAACAUAGAAUAUGUUUUAAAUCUAAAAAUGAUUCAUAUUUCAAAAAUUUAUAACACUUUUAUAGUUUCCCAAAACUUUUUGAAAACAUGCUUUAUAUUUUAAAUAUAAAUCAAAUAAUUUAACUUGUUCAUUUUUAAACAAAUCAAACGUACACAUAGUUUAAACAUGUUUAAAAAUUAACGAGUUGAAAUACAGUCAAACUUGACAAGGUAUCCUUUAUCCUAAUCAUAAAUUUUACAAAAUUAGUCAUGCUUAUACGUUCAGUAAUGGUCCAUUGAUAAAAAUCUGAUACAAAUGCAAGUGUAAUUACGUAAGAAGAAUGAUCUGCUAUCUUUUUGUUACUAUGAACAGUUGUUAAAUUUAACAAAAAUCAUAAUCUGCCUCUAUAAAUCCGGUCGGCUUAGUUCUUAAGAAUUUUAUCUUGAAAGAGUGAACGAAUGGAAGGAACUACACGUUUUAAUCGAACUCUAAGUCUGAUGUAAGUACUAGCUAAAAGUCUCUCGUUCUUUGCUUUAUAUCGGUGUUAAAUCUUUCUUGAGAUAACACUGUUCUACCAGUUUCUACGUUCCUUCUCGAGAAGAAAAUUUACAAGUGGCAAGUAAAUUCUAGGAUGGAUGUUUCCUUAAAACAUGCUUAAACUAUUCUUAGAACAAGAGCACGGAUAAUUGAAGCGGAUGCAAUCGCGAGAACUGAAAUGCCGAAACGAGUCUUAAACGAGUUCGAAAGAUAAAGACUCCAUAAUGCUUGGCAAGAUGAAUCGUACCAUAUAUGAAGUGUGAAACCUCGAACGUUCGUCACAUUUUAUGGCUCAUUUUGUUACUCUUUAUUAUUCAUUGACAUGUAUCCUUGUUGACUUUUAAAUAUUCAAGACUAGUUAUUUUACUAGAGAUAUGUAACAGAAAGAUAUAAAUGUCUCAUCAAAUAUACUACAAAUAAAUAUGACUUUUUUUUAAUGAUUGACCUUUCACUAGAGAUAGAAUGUUACAAAUUUUAGGAUUUUGAAAUCUUUCAUAAAGUUUUUCAAGUUCUUUG
rnacentral:lncRNA from 1 species